rnacentral:rRNA from 1 species
CAGUGGGGAAUAUUGGACAAUGGGCGCAAGCCUGAUCCAGCCAUGCCGCGUGAGUGAUGAAGGCCCUAGGGUUGUAAAGCUCUUUCACCGGUGAAGAUAAUGACGGUAACCGGAGAAGAAGCCCCGGCUAACUUCGUGCCAGCAGCCGCGGUAAUACGAAGGGGGCUAGCGUUGUUCGGAUUUACUGGGCGUAAAGCGCACGUAGGCGGACUUUUAAGUCAGGGGUGAAAUCCCGGGGCUCAACCCCGGAACUGCCUUUGAUACUGGAAGUCUUGAGUAUGGUAGAGGUGAGUGGAAUUCCGAGUGUAGAGGUGAAAUUCGUAGAUAUUCGGAGGAACACCAGUGGCGAAGGCGGCUCACUGGA